GACCGCUCCGGUGGCCAAGUGUUUUGAGCAUCCACCUCGAAUGUUGGAGGUCGCGGGUUCGAACCCCGGUCGAGUCA